rnacentral:rRNA from 1 species
CGUGCCUAAUACAUGCAAGUCGAGCGGACAGAUGGGAGCUUGCUCCCUGAUGUUAGCGGCGGACGGGUGAGUAACACGUGGGUAACCUGCCUGUAAGACUGGGAUAACUCCGGGAAACCGGGGCUAAUACCGGAUGGUUGUUUGAACCGCAUGGUUCAAACAUAAAAGGUGGCUUCGGCUACCACUUACAGAUGGACCCGCGGCGCAUUAGCUAGUUGGUGAGGUAACGGCUCACCAAGGCAACGAUGCGUAGCCGACCUGAGAGGGUGAUCGGCCACACUGGGACUGAGACACGGCCCAGACUCCUACGGGAGGCAGCAGUAGGGAAUCUUCCGCAAUGGACGAAAGUCUGACGGAGCAACGCCGCGUGAGUGAUGAAGGUUUUCGGAUCGUAAAGCUCUGUUGUUAGGGAAGAACAAGUACCGUUCGAA